GCCUACGGGACGCAGCAGUAGGGAAUAUUGCACAAUGGGGGAAACCCUGAUGCAGCAACGCCGCGUGAGUGAAGAAGUCAUUCGUGAUGUAAAGCUCUAUCAGCAGGGAAGAAAAUGACGGUACCUGAGUAAGAAGCCCCGGCUAACUACGUGCCAGCAGCCGCGGUAAUACGUAGGGGGCAAGCGUUAUCCGGAUUUAUUGGGUUUAAAGGGUGCGUAGGCGGUCGGAUAAGUUAGAGGUGAAAUCCCGAGGCUCAACUUCGGAAUUGCCUCUGAUACUGUUCGGCUAGAGAGUAGUUGCGGUA
rnacentral:rRNA from 1 species